rnacentral:miRNA from 1 species
UCAAGGGCUUCCACACUAUUGA